rnacentral:miRNA from 1 species
UGUAUUGGAACACUACAGCU